CGAGAAUCGAAGAAAAUUGUGCGGGUCAAUUUCGUGUAUGCGGAAUUUUUUUAACGCUAUAAAUAAAAUUCAUAAAACGAGAACUAGUCGGCUACAUUUCCGUGUAUUCAGUCGCAUUAUUGCGCUCCAAAUUUCUAGAGCUUCCCGAUGCUAUUUCAAGUACCAAACUACCUUCCUAUUCCCACGCUAUAAGCCUAUCGUUGUUCCAUAUUUAAAACAGCUAUGUCUACACAUCGCAGGUGAAAGAGUGUCUUCAAGGGUUAUCGAAGUGUUGCUGCACACCAUGUGCCGCAUAUUAUAAAACAAGUGGGCGAUCAAAAUUACGCAGCUGAAGGCCAUCGCUCCAAAAAUUCACACCACGAAUAUUAUUUAUUAUAACUUGGAGAGGGUAAAAUUGUAAAUGGCUUUGAAGAAAGAAGAAAGACUGCAAGUACAGUUUGAUAAUGAUAAUGUAAACUAGUGUAAGAAGAGUUAAUGUAUCAAGAGGCGAACGAACUGGAGAACGGCGACUGCAUUACUCACAAGGUGCAAUAUAAGUAGCGAUGGAGAUCGUCGCAUUCGUCACGACAAGCUCAUCCUGCUGAGAGCCCUUCUCUGGAAGUUCCCAAUGGCGUUUGGCUUCUCCUUAUCCGGGGGUACAAUAACAUCGAGUGGCUCUUCGUCGGGGACAUCUUCGCCCAAUUUAACAGCAACAGCCGCCGCUGGAACCGAGGAAUGAACGAGAAGUUCA
rnacentral:lncRNA from 1 species